UACGGAGGGGGCUAGCGUUGUUCGGAAUUACUGGGCGUAAAGCGCACGUAGGCGGCUUUGUAAGUGAGAGGUGAAAGCCCGGGGCUCAACUCCGGAAUUGCCUUUAAGACUGCAUCGCUAGAAUUGUGGAGAGGUAAGUGGAAUUCCGAGUGUAGAGGUGAAAUUCGUAGAUAUUCGGAAGAACACCAGUGGCGAAGGCGACUUACUGGACACAUAUUGACGCUGAGGUGCGAAAGCGUGGGGAGCAAACAGG
rnacentral:rRNA from 1 species